UUACUACCACAUUUUCCGGCGGCCUUCAACCGAACGAUUCGAAGUUAUGGCUGCCUCGUGUGGUCAACGUCACGAAACGGAGCGGUGGUUCUGAUGUUGUUGUUGCCUUGACUUCAUCGAUGAAGCUCAGUAAGAAGGGUUUCGUGUCGACGGUUGGAGCUGAGGUGGAGGGGUCGUGAUAGUGGUGGUGGUUUGUGCGGUGGAUGGCGGAAGUGAAGAGUGACGAUGGAGAAAGGGUGAACGGCGAGGGUGGAAACGGAGGGUUUACGGUUGGAAGAGGAUGAAGAGUGAGCGAAGGUGUAUCGGCGGUAGAGAGGUUGGACGGAGGGUGAAUGAAGGGGGUUUCACGUGGUGGUCAGAGGUUGGAGGAGAUGAUGGUUACGGUGAUUUGGGUGGCGAUUUUGAUGGCUGACGAUGAUGGAUUUUUGUGUGGUUAGGAGAAGAUGGAAGGUGAGAUAUGUGUGUGAGAGAGUGAGGGAGUCUGAGUGCCCUCCAAUUGUGAGUGGGUGAGGUCAGUAUAAAUGAGAGGGAGACGCGUGGCAUUUUAGUGAGUGAGGUGAGGAGAAAAUGUGUCAGCUGGCCUUUUAUUACCGUUGGAGGUGUUAAUGAUAUUAGCUGGCAAUGAUUUAUAAGGAAUCCAAUGUUAUCCUCAUUAUUUUUAUUAUUAAAGAAAAUAAAUAUAUUAAAAAUUCAUUUUCCAAAUUCAAACUAAAUAUAUAGAGAAAAUUCUAAUUAAUUAAUUUGGAUAUUUGGACAAAGAAAAAUAAAAUAAAAUAACUAAUUAGGAAUAAAAGUCGGGCGAACAUUUGCCUUAAAAAUAAAAUCGGACGCACCAGAAUGAUCAUCAUAAAAUAUACUUAUUGAAAAAAAUACAGCGUUUCUUCAAAUUCAGAAAUAAAUUUGCACCGGUUGAAAGGCUUAGGCGGGUCAGAAUGCCACUGAAACAGCCGCCGAAAAAUGCAACGAGCACGCCAGGUUAAACUACGUGAACCGUAGAUUAAUAAUACCGGUGUCUGUAAUUUUAAUUUUGAAACUUUUUACCCGCUGAUUUACGCACAUUCUUGAGAAAUGAUUCAACCGAUUUGUCUGUAUUUUCAAUAAAUUUAUCCUGACUGAUAUUUCAGGUAUUAUUCAUGAUGGAAUGUAUGUCAUGUUAUGCAUAUGAUGCAAAAUAAAAAUGAGAUUAAUUCUAUGAAAAUUUAAAUAUGCCCGGACAAAAUUGGGGUAUGACAAUAUUAUAAGAUAUGGGCCAUAUACACUUAAGUGGACUUUUUAGGUUAUAGCCCACACAAGUGGUUCUAUAAAUAGAACCCUUGUGCAGAAGCAUUAGGGCAGUUGCAAUUUCGUUUUUCUCUCUCUCUCUCUCUCUCUCUCUCUCUCUCUCUCUCUCUCUCUCUUCAAGCCUUCAAGUCGUAGCGAGCUAGCACCUAAUUGAAGGAAUCCGUUGCGUGUGGACUUCAACGUUCGUGAUCGCUCCGUAGAUCUGCAUCAAAGGUUACAAUCUCCACAAGAGGUAACGAUUCUAUCACUGAUCAUGCCCAUUCGUAAGGAUCAUUAAAGGAGAAAUUUUAAAUUCCGUUGCAUUUUGGAUCGCCCUUCUCCUUCAAGUCCCUCAGUAGCAAUGUCUUUUUCUGAUCUAGAUGAAUCAUCAUCUUUCUUAGUUUGAGGUUCCACCUCAAGAGAGGGGUCCCUUCUAGACAGAGCGGUUGAAACUCCUUUGACAGAGUGUCCUUCGUUUAGAAUCCUAGUUACAAGGUUCCUAAUGACAUGAUCUGUAUAGUGCAUGUCAUCCUUAGGUGGAGAGUUU
rnacentral:lncRNA from 1 species